rfam:Homo sapiens chromosome 15, GRCh38 reference primary assembly.
GCCAGGUGCUGUGGCAUGCACCUGUAGUUCCAGCUACUCAGGAGGCUGAGAAAGGAAGAUUGCUUGAGCCCAGGAAUUUGAGGCUGCAGUGAGCUACAAUUGCACCACUGCACUCCAGCCUAGCCUGGGCAACAUAGUAAGGCCCUGUCUCUA